UCGUACGAUCUGCAACUUUAGCAGUGCACCCAUUUUGAUAGUUAGUGCACAACCAAAACGCAAUGGAACCAACCAAUCUAAAUAAUGAAUCUUUAUGAUCAGCCAGCCAAAGACAGCGGUGAACGUUUAGAUAUAUAUAAAAAAUUCAGAUAUGUACCUCUCUCUCGCUUUUUAGCAUUAUAUCGAUGUGGGACUAAAUAGUUACUUUUACAUGCUAUUUGCCUGUGUCAUAUAGUCACAUGUAUAAUAUGUAUUAUUAUUAUUAUUUAAAUAAAAAAAUCUCAGACUUUAAAAGUGUAAAAUUACAAAAGUAAUAAAACAUAAAAGACGUCAUCUUACUUCAUCUAGGUGGCUCGAUUGUUCUGAUACAAACCCAACUCCGUCGAGUCUCUGAUUCUCUGGUGGGUUUCUCAUCCUCAUACAGGAGCGGAUCUAGCUUCGGAAUAGGGGAUACCUCAAUUUUUACAUAAAAAAAAAAGAACCUGGUAUAGUUUUAACAAUGUUUAGGGAUUAAAAAAAUCAAUUUUUUUUUGUAGAAAUUAAACUCAUACUUUGACGCUUAUCAAUUUUUUAUUUUUAUUAUUUGGAAAUUUCUCAAUCCCUUCGAUUUCCGUCAAAUUCUGAAAUCCCAACCCAUUACAACCUUUGAAAGUCGCCGUCGUCCGAAACAGCUCGCCAAAGUUUCCUGUAGUCGUCGGAGCCGGCCCAGUCAUCCCUUUCUACUGCUGCUCCGCCUCGUCGGAACCGGUUGUUUUAUAAAUUAUCUAAAUUUCACCAACUUUUCGAAAUCUGACCCUACACCAAAUCCUCUUCUUGGUCAUCUAUUUUCUUUCAUAGAUCUCCAUUGAUGACCAUGUUACGGAUGAAGCCGCUACCUUAUUGAUCGACAAUGGCUUGGGAGCAAUUGCUGAACUUUUCGAGAAGACUGGAGCGCCGGCGGCCACCUUGCCCAUCGUCGACGAGGAAUCAGGAGUCGCCCUCACGACGACCUCAUUGGAACCAGCCCGAGACCGCUCGACCCGAUUAAAGAAACCUUCUAUUUAGGUGACUGAUUAUGUGAAGUAAAGAUUGCAAGAAGACCCCGAACUUCCUUCUUUUAUUUUAAGAAACUUAAAGUUAGAUUAAUUACAUUUUAAUCCAGU
rnacentral:lncRNA from 1 species